AGCAGCCGCGGUAAUUCCAGCUCCAAUAGCGUAUAUUAAAGUUGUUGCAGUUAAAAGCUCGUAGUUGAAUUUUAGGCCUGGCCAGGCGGUCCGUCUUUGGCGAGUACUGUCUUGUUGUCGGGUCUUCCUUCUGGUGAACCAGUAUGCCCUUUAUUGGGUGUGUUGGGGAGCCAGGACCAUUACCUUGAAAAAAUUAGAGUGUUUAAAGCGGGCUAUUGCUUGAAUAGAUUAGCAUGGAAUAAUAGAAUAGGACGUUGUGGUUCUAUUUUGUUGGUUUCUAGGACCACCGUAAUGAUUAAUAGGGAUAGUUGGGGGCAUUAGUAUUCAAUUGUCAGAGGUGAAAUUCUUGGAUUUAUUGAAGACUAACUAUUGCGAAAGCAUUUGCCAAGGAUGUUUUCAUUAAUCAAGAACGAAAGUUAGGGGAUCGAAGACGAUCAGAUACCGUCGUAGUCUUAACCAUAAACUAUGCCGACUAGGAAUCGGGCGACGUUAUUUUCAUGACUCGCUCGGCGCCUUAUGG
rnacentral:rRNA from 1 species